rnacentral:rRNA from 1 species
GGGUUGUGAGGUUAAGCGACUAAGCGUACACGGUGGAUGCCCUGGCAGUCAGAGGCGAUGAAGGACGUGCUAAUCUGCGAUAAGCGUCGGUAAGGUGAUAUGAACCGUUAUAACCGGCGAUUUCCGAAUGGGGAAACCCAGUGUGAUUCGUCACACUAUCAUUAACUGAAUCCAUAGGUUAAUGAGGCGAACCGGGGGAACUGAAACAUCUAAGUACCCCGAGGAAAAGAAAUCAACCGAGAUUCCCCCAGUAGCGGCGAGCGAACGGGGAGSAGCCCAGAGCCUGAAUCAGUGUGUGUGUUAGUGGAAGCGUCUGGAAAGGCGCGCGAUACAGGGUGACAGCCCCGUACACAAAAAUGCACAURCUGUGAGCUCGAUGAGUAGGGCGGGACACGUGGUAUCCUGUCUGAAUAUGGGGGGACCAUCCUCCAAGGCUAAAUACUCCUGACUGACCGAUAGUGAACCAGUACCGUGAGGGAAAGGCGAAAAGAACCCCGGCGAGGGGAGUGAAAAAGAACCUGAAACCGUGUACGUACAAGCAGUGGGAGCCUCUUWAUGGGGUGACUGCGUACCUUUUGUAUAAUGGGUCAGCGACUUAUAUUCUGUAGCAAGGUUAACCGAAUAGGGGAGCCGAAGGGAAACCGAGUCUUAACUGGGCGUUAAGUUGCAGGGUAUAGACCCGAAACCCGGUGAUCUAGCCAUGGGCAGGUUGAAGGUUGGGUAACACUAACUGGAGGACCGAACCGACUAAUGUUGAAAAAUUAGCGGAUGACUUGUGGCUGGGGGUGAAAGGCCAAUCAAACCGGGAGAUAGCUGGUUCUCCCCGAAAGCUAUUUAGGUAGCGCCUCGUGAAUUCAUCUCCGGGGGUAGAGCACUGUUUCGGCAAGGGGGUCAUCCCGACUUACCAACCCGAUGCAAACUGCGAAUACCGGAGAAUGUUAUCACGGGAGACACACGGCGGGUGCUAACGUCCGUCGUGAAGAGGGAAACAACCCAGACCGCCAGCUAAGGUCCCAAAGUCAUGGUUAAGUGGGAAACGAUGUGGGAAGGCCCAGACAGCCAGGAUGUUGGCUUAGAAGCAGCCAUCAUUUAAAGAAAGCGUAAUAGCUCACUGGUCGAGUCGGCCUGCGCGGAAGAUGUAACGGGGCUAAACCAUGCACCGAAGCUGCGGCAGCGACRCUUAUGYGUUGUUGGGUAGGGGAGCGUUCUGUAAGCCUGCGAAGGUGUACUGUGAGGUAUGCUGGAGGUAUCAGAAGUGCGAAUGCUGACAUAAGUAACGAUAAAGCGGGUGAAAAGCCCGCUCGCCGGAAGACCAAGGGUUCCUGUCCAACGUUAAUCGGGGCAGGGUGAGUCGACCCCUAAGGCGAGGCCGAAAGGCGUAGUCGAUGGGAAACAGGUUAAUAUUCCUGUACUUGGUGUUACUGCGAAGGGGGGACGGAGAAGGCUAUGUUGGCCGGGCGACGGUUGUCCCGGUUUAAGCGUGUAGGCUGGUUUUCCAGGCAAAUCCGGAAAAUCAAGGCUGAGGCGUGAUGACGAGGCACUACGGUGCUGAAGCAACAAAUGCCCUGCUUCCAGGAAAAGCCUCUAAGCAUCAGGUAACAUCAAAUCGUACCCCAAACCGACACAGGUGGUCAGGUAGAGAAUACCAAGGCGCUUGAGAGAACUCGGGUGAAGGAACUAGGCAAAAUGGUGCCGUAACUUCGGGAGAAGGCACGCUGAUA